rnacentral:lncRNA from 1 species
UAGCGACACCUAUCGCAUAUGUGAGUCAAAAGACGCAAACGGUCCCGGCUAAGGUAAGGCUGCAGCCGUGGAGUUAACCGUGCGUGAGAUCACAAAGAGAUGCGAUGUGUUACAGGCUGGAUUCCUAUGGCUUAGGAUCGGGGUCCCGACAGCGUCGUCUUCGAAGUCGUCGUCAUCCUCAUCCUUGUCGUCGUCGUCGUUAUUAUCGUCGCCUUCGCUGUUCUUGUCAUUGUAGCGACCCGACGCAAAAUGAGUCUAGCCUCUGUGUUUCUGUGCCAUCCCUGGAUCAGUAUGCUGGCACACAUAGUACAUCAAUGUAUAUAUCAAAGUGCAAUGACAUGUAAAUAGCGUAAAACUGAUAUAUACCUUAACUAUCUCAGCGGAAGCAGUCAAGGGAGUGGAGUCCCAAUAAACACCAACGGCAAGUUGAGNNNNNNNNNNUCGUGCUUGAGACCACAAAGUGAUGCGAUGUGUUACAGGCUGGAUUCCUAUGGCUUAGGAUCGGGGUCCCGACAGCGUUGGUAUCAGAGCCUGACUGACUAUAGGAUUACUAAGCCAAACUGGUCGAAGUUGAGUCUAGAAUUGCUUUAGUUAUAUAUAAGGGAAUUGUUUGUGGAAGGGAACGUAAGACUCUUGUUCUCUUCCCAAGUUAUUCUAUUCUGGUCAUCCUCGUCUCUUCUGCGGGAAUUAAGGACUAGGUUACUCAUCUUCUCCUAGGCUCGUAUUUCUGAUCGGUAGAUUUUAGGACUACGGGUCGAGAGAUGUUGGGUUUCUUUUAUUCCUAGGAAGCAGGAAGUAAGUUUGAUGAUCAGAGAGUGGAACUUGAUAGUUGAGUGAUUACGCUAUUCCAUUUUGGGUUGUCUCAAAAUUUGUUUUUGAGCAUUUACAGCCGUUAUGCUGCCCAAUUUUGCAUUCAGAGCUUUAAUGCUUUUGCAUUACUCUCUAUUUAUAGAUGCCUGGCCGUCCUUCUCGUCAGGUGGUAUGUUUGACCAGGUGCAUUGAUGUACCGGGUCAUACGGCCAUGCUGGUCAGGGUGAUGUAGGUGUAAGGUUACCGCUGGUACCCCGAGUACACAGUGGAGGAACAGUACCGGGACUUCAACCAGAGCCAGUACAUCUGCACUGUUAGGGUAUUCCCAGACUACCCUGGAGCUGAGGAGCCAAUCCAUUGGUCCUAUGGGUUGGGGGUCACUGUUGACAUGGCAGUACAAGAUGCUGCCUAUUCAAUGCUGACUAUUAUGAGAGCGAGACAUGCCAGUUCUGCUAUGUUCCGGCCUCUCAGUCUGGUGAAGAGGGAUACCUCAGUGGAGUCUAUUUUGAUUCUUCUAUGGAGGAUCCACUUAUGCAGUCCACUGUUGAGAUGCUAGAGAACAGAGACAAGGACGCUCGUGCUCUCCGCAUGGAGCUUUAUGCUACCCGUGCCCGUCUAUGGACAGCUUUGACGCAGCUGGCACCGGUAGUCCAGACAGGGUAUGGAGAGAUGGAGAUGCUGAACCCUGUUAGGACCCAUCUUCCGGCACACGUUGACUGGCCAGCUAUAGGAGGAGUCACACCUCUUCGGGGACCCCUCUUACCACCAGUCAGGGGACCAAGGCCACAUCCGUGUCCUUAUGGACCCCAGGGAUCUCAGGCUAGAGUGUUUCCUGAUCCGCAGGUUGAGCUUCCAGGUCAUGGAGGUAACCUCUAUGAGAUGUUCUAUGCGGAUGCCUGAGCUGUGAGCGGAAAGAUAGUAUGUUAGUAGCCGUACGUUCACAGUCCUGCGUGACUUGUGAAGUAUGGUAGUAAUGUGAAAUGAAUUCCGGAGGCCUAGAUAAAUAAUGUAUAGGAAGCUUGUACGCCUCUGAUGAGUAGCUUCACAAUUUUAGCAGUUUGCUCUACGGUUAAGGUUGUACUGAGCUAUGUAAGGGUGUGUCUGAACCAUGGUGUAUAAAUAGCAGUUGCUUGUUACCAUUUUGUUCGGAUAUUCAUUUCCGCAUUCCGUGUGUUCAGUACAUUCUUAAUCCAUAGCUAGUAUUGAUAUGAUAUUGGUCUAAGCUAUGAGUUUGUUUGUCAGGAUGGUGUUCACCAGGUUGAACCGUGCCCCUGCUCAUGAGCAAGGUGAGGGUAGUCAAGCGUCGCAGGAAGACCUGCCUCACCCACCUUCUCUGGUAGAAGUGAUGCUUGAGGCAGAAAGAAAUAAAAGGGAGACCAACCGACUGCUAGAGCGUAUUGAGAAGAAUACGGCUCGACAGCCUAGGAAUGCUGGAGUGUCCCUCAAUGACUUUGUGAAGCUGAAUCCUCCAAAGUUUCAUCAUUCCGUCGAUCCCCUCGACGCUGAUGACUGGUUGUGCAGCAUCUCACGCAAGAUUCGCUCGGCGAAUGUGUCUGAGGCCGACAAGGUGACCUUUGUGGCGUAUUUCCUAGAGGGACCCGCCAAUCUGUGGUGGGAGAAUUUUGAAGCUAUGCGUCCCGCUGAACCAGUGGCCACGUGGGCAGACUCCAGUGCAGCUUUUCGUCUGCACCAUAUUCCAGAGGGCCUGAUGGACAGAAAGAGAGAGGAGUUAUGUGCCUUCACUCAGGGCAAGUAUCUGUGGAUGCCUAUAGCCGCGAGUUCGGUAACCUCGCCCGCUAUGCAACAGAGGAGGUGUCUACUGACGCCAAGAAGCAAGCAAGAUUCCGUAAGGGUCUCAGCCCUGAGCUCCGUCGAGACCUGCGCCUCCAUGAGUGUGCAAGUUUUCAAGCCCUGGUCAACAAAGCGAUCAGUGCGGAGACUGGUCAUUCUGACUUCGAAGCCACAAGGAAGCACUCCCGUGACUUUGGCUCAUCUUCUGGUUCUGCGUUUCCAAAACGCAGGCUGUGGGUAACAAACAGUUCUCUGCCGCCAAGAUACACUCCGAGGCCAUCCUACGUGGCGCCUCAGACGAAUCAGGCCAACCCUCCAGCAAAAGCUUAUGGUGGUCCAGCUAGCAAUGCUGCACCACGUGCCAACCAGGUGAUAUGCUACAAGUGUGGAGAACCAGGGCAUUAUUCCCGUGAGUGUCCUCAGAAUGUGGGUGCCAAGNNNNNNNNNNNNNNNNNNNNNNNNNNNNNNNNNNNNNNNNNNNNNNNNNNNNNNNNNNNNNNNNNNNNNNNNNNNNNNNNNNNNNNNNNNNNNNNNNNNNGCCCCGUGCCAGCCCCGCCUCCGCCCCACACCAGCCCCGCCUCCACCCCUCGCCGCCCCGUGCGAGCCCCGCCCCGCGCCAGCCCCACACCAGGACCACCUAGACCACACGCCGCCGCCCCGCGCCAGCCCCGCCCCGACUCGCGAGUGAGCUCCUCCUCCCUUUUUUUAGUUUAUUUUUUCUAUCUUAGUUAGAUCUAUUAGUAGUAGAUAAUAGAUUUAGUUAACAAUUAGUAGUUAAAUUUAGUUAGCAAUUAGUAGUGCUAGAUUUUUAGUUCAAUUUAGUUAGCAAUUACUUAGUGGUAGAUUUGUAGGUAAAUUUAGUUAGCAAUUAGACGGAGAUUAAGAGAAGAAGAAGAAGAAGAAAAGGAAAAAGAGGAAGAAGAAGGGGGAGAAGGAGAGAAAAAUGAAGAAAAGAAAAUAAUAAGAAGAAAAAGAAAUAGAAGAAGAGAAGAGUAACAAAACUUGAAUAAUAAAUUAUUAAUAAUAGAUGUUAGUAUUAGUUAGCUUAAUUACCGCGAGUGCGUAUUUGUGUUGAUUGAGUGCAUUUAAAUGUGCAGUAGCUUCUCCGCGAGGGUUUAGUUUUCGACGACCUCCCCUGCAUUCGAAAGUGAGCACAUUUGUUAACUCCUCCUCCACCCCCUUUAUUUUGCUCUGUUCCGGCCUUCGUGCUGAUGACACUAUCUAGCUAGAUAUUUUUAGUGUUAAAAUGCAAAGUUUUUGCCUAACCAAUAUGCGUCUCCCGUUCGAAAGGGUUCUUGUUAUAAAUAUGCAUGCAUUUGCAUAUUUAUAACGGUGAUUCUUUCGAAUUGUCCAACAUUAUCCAUGGACAGCCCGGGUAUGUGUAGAUUGGGUCGUUUCCCAUGCUUUCCUCCGAAUCCCAUGCAGAGUUUCGACAGCGCCUCCUUGUUGUUCUCUGGGUACACAUCCUCUCGGUUAGUUGUCGAGACGUGUAUCAGGAGAACAGCAGGGAGGUGCUGCCGAAAUUUGGCGUUGGAUCGGGAGCAGAGCAUGGGAAAAUGACCCAAUCUACACAUACUCGGGUGGGAUUAGGACCCAUCUUUACCUAGUAGCUGGUAGGUGUGCAUGCCAUGCAUCCCAAUGUAUUAACCAUGAUUAAAAAAUGGCCAUAAUUAAUUUAACAUACUUGAUGAACUGAUAAUUUAUAUUGUUUAUAUGUGGAUACUAUAUAGCUAGCUUGCCAGAAUGACUGAUCGUGAAUGGAUGUACACCGGUCACCAUAGUCAGAGAGAGAUGACCGAUGAAUGGUUGAGAAAAACCUAUGAAUUCGUGCAAACGACAUUUUCUAAUGGCCAGCCAAGAACAUGGUGGCCCUGCACUAAGUGCAAGAAUUAUUCGCGACAGACAAAGGAUGUAAUGGGUAAACACCUGCAGAUGCGUGGUUUUACUCCUGGCUAUACCUUGUGGACAUUUCAUGGUGAGGCGGCCCAACAUAACAGAGACGAGGUGUUGCGUCGGCGCACCGACGAUUAUGGUACAGGGAUUGAAGACAUGGUGAAUGACUUUGAUGAUGCUCGGAACAAGGACGAAGAGAUGGAGGAAUCCGCGAAAGCCUUCUAUGCCAUGUUGGAGACUUCAAAACGUCCUCUUCACGAGCACACUAAGAUUUCUCAGCUAGAUGCCAUCGCACAGUAAUCGCUCUGAAAGCCCAAUUCAACAUUGGAAGAGACCUGUUUAAGUCAGUGAUGACCCUAUUUGGGAGCUUCCUACCCGAAGGUCAUAUUAUGCCUUCAAACCUAUAUGGGUCAGACAAAAUCCUUAGUGCACUCAAGAUGCCGUAUGAGCAGAUACAUGCUUGUGAGAAACGAUGUGCCUUAUUUAGGAAAGAGUAUGCGGACAAAACAUAUUGUCCAUUUUGCAAGUCCUCCAGAUAUGUUGAGGUAGAAAAUGGUGAAGGUGAGAAGAAGCAGAGCAAAAUCCCCGUGAGUGUCCUACGGUAUCUGACGAUCCUACCAAGACUUCAACGACUUUACAUGCUCGAAGAAACAGCAAAACAGAUGACAUGGCACAAACAUGGAAUUAGGAAAGAAUUAGAUGAACACAGAGUUCCGAUGUUGGUACACCCUUCACAUGGUGACACAUGGAAAGCAUUUGAUAGUAUACAUAAGGAAAAAGCUAAAGAACCAAGGAAUUGUCGAAUCACCAUCAGCCUCGAUGGGUUCAAUCCUUUUGGUAUGACGGCUACCCAAUAUAGUUGUUGGCCUGUAUUUUUCAUUCCCCUCAAUCUUCACCAUCACCCAUUAUGCAAAGAAAGCACAUAUUUCUGACGUUGAUAGUUCCGGGGGCAAACUACCCGGGAAAGAAUAUGAGUGUGUACAUGCAACCGCUGAUGGAUGACUUGAAAGAAGCUUGGGUGAAUGGGGUCAACACAUACGACGCAGCUAAGAAAGAGAACUUUCAAAUGUAUGUUUGGUACCAAUACUCGUUGCAUGAUCUGUCGGCAUUUGCGCUUUUCGUUGCCUGUUGUGCGCAUGGAAGGUUCCCAUGCCAACAAUGCAAGGCAACUCUUAAGUUUCAUUUGUUGCCGCGGGUGGGAAGUAUUCCUGCUUUGACUUGCAUAGACAGUUCUUGCCUAUGGACCAUCCAUUCAGAAAAGACAAGAAUAAUUUCAUGAAAGGUAAAGUUGUCAAACACUCGGCAUCACCUGCGUUGACGGGGGCACAAAUUAAUGAACAGUUAAAAUCUGUGGAGCCUGAUCCAAAUCGUCCAGGGUAUUUCUUGGGUUAUAAUGAGGAACACGCUUGGACCCACAGGCCAUGCAUCUGGGAUCUCCCCUACUUCGAAGACCUCUUACUUCCACACAACAUUGACAUGAUGCACACUCAAAAGAAUAUCGCCAAGGCCCUUCUUGGCAGAUAUUUCGGCACUAAUAAGGGCAAAGAUAAUACAAAGGCUAGAGUUGACUAGGAGACUCUGUGUGAUAGGACAUUACUAAACAUGCGAGAACCAAAGGACGAAAAACUUGGUCCAAACCACCUGCCUGGUACAAUAUUGAGAAGGGAGCAAUAAGGGAAAUCCUCUUGUGGGUGCAAAAAAAGUUGUUAUUCCCCGAUGGGUAUGCUGCGAAUCUAGCGAGGGGAGCGAGCAUUGAAAAAUUGAAAUUUUUUGGGCUCAAGAGUCAUGAUUGGCACAUAUGGCUUGAGCGGAUAAUGCCGGUGAUGUUGCGGCUAUAUCCCCGAGGCUGAAUGGCUAGUAUUGGCUGAGUUGAGGUAUUUCUUCCGUGUUCUUUGUGCUAAAGAGUUGUCACAUGCCGUGAUAGAUGACAUCGAAGAGUUGGCGCCUGAGUUGCUCUGCAAGUUAGAGAAGAUUUUUCCACGUGGCUUCUUUAAUCCGAUGCAACACAUGAUUUUCCAUGUCCCAACCGAGGCAAGAUUGGGUGGCCCUGUGCAAAAUCAUUGGUGCUACGCAACUGAAAGAAUGCAGAAGACACUUGGAGGAAAAUGUAAAAAUAAACGUAGAAUUGAAGCAUCGAUGGCCGAGGCGUUCAUUACCGAGGAGGCGGCAAACUUCGUAACAGCACACUAUGAUGCCACUAUGCACAUCUUGCAUAAUCUAAAGCCUCGGUACAAUGUGGGCGACCCCAAACGACGUGAAUCCAAUCUCAGCCUCUUCAAAGGGAAGCUCGCACCUUCUGGUGUGGGAAAACCAAAGUUGUUGUGCGUCGAGGAGUGGCGCACACUAACGAUAUAUAUAUUGAACAACUUAACAGAAGUUCAGCCAUACAUCGAGUAAGUGCUCUUUACAUUGUUUCACAACUUUUAACAAGUUUUAUGUCUAACAACUAUUAUUAAUUGAUACAGUCGAUACGUCGAACAAUUCUUAAAUGGUGUUGCAAUCGAAAAAGAAUCCAUUCUCGAGUAUGAACUUCUUGACAAGACAGGAGGCGGCUAUCCCGGUUUCAUCUCUUGAUUCAAAAAAUGGUACCUCCCUUAUAUAUAAUAGGUGAUUUCCUUUGUUGCCAUUACUCAUGAGUAACACACCGAAUUCUAUCUUUUCUUAACUUCUAGGCUAAUUCAGAUGAGAAGUCGAUGAUGAAUUGAGACAAAUAGCUAAUGGUUUUCACUUGAAGGUUCGUACGUUUCAGAUGUACGACAUCAACGGGUAUCACUUUCGUACUGCUAGCAAAGAGCUUUCAAUGCCCCGUCGAAAAACAAAAAAUUCCGGUGUCUCUGCUAUAGGCGAUGGAGGUGUCGAGUAUUAUGGAAGACUUGAAGAAGUCUACGAACUUCAUUAUUAUGGUGAAAAUUCUCCAAACGUUGUUGUGUUCAAAUGUCAUUGGUUCGAUCCUACUAAGACAAUACGGACUCAUGAACAUCUUGGGCUAGUCGAAAUUCCACAAGACAGGCAGUUAAGCGGUGCCGAUUUCCAUAUUAUGGCUCAACAUGCCACCCAAGUUUUCUAUCUGCCAUAGUGUCGUCAAAGUGUUAAGAACCUGGAAGGUUGGUAUGCCGUGUUCGAUGUGCCGCCACAUCUUAGACCACCUCCCCCAAAUGAAGACGAUUAUGAACCUCAAAUUGACCCAAUAACAUAUGAUGGAGAAUUAUUCCAAGAAUCACGUGGUGUGAGAUGUUGUACCCGAAACUGCUCUACGUCCACCCUGAACACGGAGGAACAAGAAUCGCGUGAUGAUGAGGAAGAAGUGGAAGUAGAAGAGGUUACCAAUGCGGAUGAGCUAUCAAUGCUUGAUCGGUUACAAAAAGGCCUUCCAGAUGAUGUCCCUGAACCCGAUGAUGAUAUCAGUCACGACAACAUGUCUGAUACUGAUGAUGAUUUUGCUUCAAUUGACCAUGGAAAAGAGACAGAUGAUCCCGACUAUUAGUACUUUGUAUGCAUCCAAACGUUGUUGUUUAAUUAUUCAAUUAUUAGUUGAAUUAUUCAUGUAUUUAUUAUUGUUCAUUUAAUUAUUGUCCUUGAAUUUGUACUAAUUAUUUAACUAUUUAUCGUUCCAGGUGGUGAGGCAUGGUAGGCGGGGAUAAGUUGAGGAUAGCACCUGGGCAGCUAUGGAGAACUUUGUUGGAGAGCUUUGCUGAGGAGCCCCGUGGGAGAGGCGGAGGAAAGAAGAGAGGCACAUGACAUGGUCAUGGGAGAGGGAGGGUGCCUGAUAGGAGCCAGUCGCCACCACCCUCGGCUACUUCUGUCUCAGCCACUUCACCCUUGCAGACGAGGGUGUCACCGGUGCGGGAUCCUCCCGUCCAGGAGCAGACACCAAUGCAGGGGGCUGAGGCAGAGGCUCAGGAGGAGACUGAGGGGGAUGAGGCGGAGGUUGAGGGGGCUGAGGCGGAGGCUGAAGGAGAGAGGCGGAGCCCGUCUGCCAGCAAGUCGGUCUACCAACAUGUUAUGACACGAGUUCGAGACCGAUUGGAGUUAGAGCACACGGCGUUCAUUGAGCCAUAUGGCGAGAAGUAAGUUGACAUAUAUUGUGUACCUUAUAUCAUUAUAUUUCACCAAGUAGCUGAUGACUUUGCCUUAUCAUUAUGUAGGGGGUGGAAUUACGUGAAGAAUAUCCGGAAUCCAAACUACCUCCUUGGUGCUUUACUUAGGGAGCACCUCCCCGGGAUAGUGCAGUGGCCUGGUGAGGGUCUGGUUACCGAGCCAGGACUCAAGUGGGAGCACUACCAAGCCGCUCUGCUCCCAGAAAGCACACAUGUGAAUGGUCUUAUUUGCAUGAGUGUGGCCGAUGCUACGGCGACAGAAACCUUAUGUCGUCUCUUGAGCUUGCGUUGGUUUUUCCCUUGAAGAGGAAAGGGCGAUGCAGCACAGGAGCAGUAAGUAUUUCCCUCUGUUUGAGAACCAAGGUAUCAAUCUAGUAGGAGAAUCGCGUCAAGGCCAGAGUACCUGCACAAACACCAAAGAGCUUGUACCCAACGCAAUAAAGGGGUUGUCAAUCCCUUCAAAAUUGAUUGCAAAGUGAGAUCUGAAGGCGGAGAGUGCAACGAAGUAAAAGAGCAAGGCUGAAAAUAUGGUGUGAAGUAGACCCGGGGGCCAUAGUGUUCACUAGAGGCUUCUCUCAAAAUAGCAAAUAUUACGGUGGGUGAACAAAUUACUAUCGAGCAAUUGAUAGAACCGCGCAAAGUCAUGACGAUAUCUAAGGCAAUGAUCAUACAUAUAGGCAUCAUGUCCGAGACAAGUAGACAGAUACUUUCUGCAUCUACUACUAUUACUCCAAACAUCGACCGCUAUCCAGCAUGCAUCUAGUGUAUUGAGAUCAUGACAAACAGAAUAACGCCUUAAACAAGAUGACAUGAUGUAGAGGGAUAAACUCAAACCAAUGAUGAAAACCCCAUCUUUUUACCCUUGAUGGCAACAACAUGAUGCGUGCCUCGCUACCCCUUCUGUCACUGGGUGAGGUCACCGCACGGUAUGAACCCAAAACCAAGCACUUCUCCCAUUGCAAGAAUCAUAGAUAAAGCUGGCGAUACAAAACCCACAACUCGAAGAGAAUUACGAGGAUAUGAAAUCAUGCGUAUAAGAGAUCAGAAGAAACUCAAAUAAGAUUAAUAGAUAAUCUGAUCAUAAAUCCACAAUUCAUCGGAUCUCGACAAACACAUCACAAAACAAGAUUACAUCGGAUAGAUCUCCAUGAAGAUCAUGGAGAACUUUGUCUUGAAGAUCCAAGAGAGAGAAGAAGCCAUCUAGCUACUAGCUAUGGACCCGUAGGUCUAUGGUGAACUACUCACGCAUCAUCGGAGAGGUCAUGGUGUUGAUGAAGAAGCCCUCCGUAUCUGAAUCCCCCCUCCGGCAGGGCACCAGAACGUGCCCCAGAUGGGAUCUUGCGGAGACAGAAGCUUGCGGCGGCGGAAAAGUACUUUCCAUGAUCUCCUGAUUUUUUCUGGGAUUUUAGGGAAUAUAUAGCCGAAAGACCUAGGGCAGAGGAGUCCCAGGGAGCCCACAAGCCUGGGAGGCGCGGGCGCCCUGGCCGCAGCUAGGGGGCUUGUGGGGUCCCUGGUGACCCUCUGCCUUGGUUCUCAAGUCCCCCGAUCGUCUUAUGUUUCGGAAAAAAUCUUUUUGGAAGUUUUAUGUCGUUUGGACUCCGUUUAAAAUCCUCCUCUGAAAAUGGUCAAAAACACGAAAAAAUAGGAACAGGCACUUGGCACUGAGUUAAUAAGUUAGUCCCAAAAAAGAUAUAAAAGGCAUACAAAACAUCCAUAGUUUGACAAGAUAAUAGCAUGAAACCAUCAAAAAUUAUAGAUACAUUGGAGACGUAUCAAGCAUCCCCAAGCUUAACUCCAGCUCGUCCUCGAGCAGGAAAGUAAUAAAGACUGAAUUUUUGAUGUGGAAUGUGAUACGUCCAUUUCGCAUCAUGCUUUCAUGUUGAUAUUUAUUGCUUUUUGGGCUGUUAUAGUACUAGUGGUACCAUAUUUAUGCCUUUUCUCUCUUAUUUUGCAAGGAUUAUUUGAAGAGGGAGAAUUCAGGCAGCUGGAAUUCUGAACUAGAAAAGGAGCAAAUCCUAGUCCACUAUUCCGCACAUCUCCAAUUGCCCUGAAAAUUUACGUGGAUUUUUUCUGGAUUAUAUUAAAAAUACUGGGCGAAAGAACUACCGGAGGGGGGCCACCAGGGCCCCACAAGCCCCCACUUCGCCACCACCCCCUUGGUGACGGUGGGCAAGCUUGUGGGCUGCCUGAAGGCCCAAUAGCCCCAAUCUUUUGCUAUAUGAAGCGUCCUGGUCUGGAAAAAAUCAGGAGGGAGAUUUUUCGUGGUUUCCCUGCCGCCACGACGUGGAACUUGAGCAGAUCCAAUCUAGAGCUCCAGCAGGACGAUCCUGCCGGGGAAACUUCCCUCCCGGAGGGGGAAAUCGUCGUCAUCGUCAUCACCAACACUCCUCUUGUCGGAGGGGAGGCAUCUUCAGCAACAUCUUCAUCAGCACCAUCUCCUCUCCAAUCCCUAGUUCAUCUCUUGUAAUCAAUCUCCAUCUCACGACUCCGAUUGGUACUUGUAAGGUUGGUAGUAGUGUUGAUUACUCUUUGUAGUUGAUGCUAGUUGGAUUACUUGGUGGAAGAGUUUGUGUUCAGAUCCUUGAUGCUAUUCAUUACACCGCUGGUCAUGAUUAUGAUUAUGUCUUGUGAGUAGUUACUUUUGUUCCUGAGGACAUGGGAUAAGUCAUGCUGAUAAUAGUCAUGUGAAUUUGAUAUUCGUUCGGUAUUUUGAUAUGAUGUAUGUUGUCUUUUCCUCUAGUGGUGUUAUGUGAACGUCGACUACAUAACACUUCACCAUAUUUGGGCCUAGAGGAAGGCAUUGGGAAGUAGUAAUUAGAUGAUGGGUUGCUGGAGUGACAGAAGCUUAAACCCCAGUCUAUGCGUUGCUUCGUGAGGGGCUCAUUUGGAUCCAGUAGUUUAAUGUUAUGGUUAGACUUUGUCUUAAUUCUUCUUUUGUAGUUGCAGAUGCUUGCCAGAGAGGUGAAUCAUAAGUGGGAUGCUUGUCCAAGUAAGGGAAGUACCCAAGCGCCGGUCCACUCACAUAUAAAACUAUCAAAGUAACGAACAAGAAUCAUAUGAACAUGAUGAAACUAGCAUGACAGAAAUUCCCGUGUGUCCUCGGGAGCGUUUUUCCUCCUAUAAGACUUUGUUCAGUCUUGUCCCUUGCUACAAAAGGGAUUCGGCCACUUGCUGCACCGUUGCUACUACUUGUUACUUGUUACUUUUUACUCGCUACGUUUCACCUCGCUACACAAUCACUAGUUACCGCUACUUUCAGUGCUUGCAGUUAUUACCUUGCUGAAAUCCGUUUAUUAGAGCCUUCUGCUCCUCGUUGGGUUUGACACUCUUACUUAUAGAAAGGACUACGAUUGAUACCCUAUACUUGUGGGUCAUCAAGACUCUUUUCUGGUGCUGUUGCCGGGGAGUGAAGCGCCUUUGGUAAGGAAACAUCUAUAUAUUGUGCUGAAAUUUAUUUCACUUGUCACUAUGGAAACUGUUUCUUUGAGGAGUUUGUUCGGGGUAUCUUCACCACAAACAGAAGCACGAGGAUUUGCUCCUCAACCUGAGGUAUGUACUGAAAAUAUCUUUUAGGAAAUUCCUUUGGGUAUGCUUGAGAAACUGCUGGCUAAUCCUUUUAGAGGAGAUGGAUCUUCACAUCGAGACUUUCAUCUAAUCUAUGUAGAUGAAGUUUGUGGUUUAUUUAAGCUUGUAGGUUUGCCCGAGGAUGAAGUAAAGAAGAAAUUCUUUCCUUUAUCUUUGAAGGAUAAGGUGUUGACAUGGUAUAGGCUAUGUGAUGAUGUUGGAUCAUGGGGCUACAAUCGGUUGAAAUUGGAAUUUCAUCAAAAGUUCUAUCCUAUGCAUUUAGUACAUCGUGAUCGGAACUUUAUUUAUAACUUUUGGCCUCGUGACAGGGNNNNNNNNNNNNNNNNNNNNNNNNNNNNNNNNNNNNNNNNNNNNNNNNNNNNNNNNNNNNNNNNNNNNNNNNNNNNNNNNNNNNNNNNNNNNNNNNNNNNCAAAUGUCCCUUCUAUUAAGAAGACCUCCCGGCCGUGAGGCUUAUCCAGGGGAUGUUUUUUAUUUGCAUUCACGCCUUUUAGAAAGAGCCGCUAAAUUAAAUUCUCUUUUAGGCGAAGGAAGUAUGACCGCUUUACCAAUAAUUGAGACUCAAUCUGGAGACGUUUCCGCCUAUAUUCCUACUAAUAUAAUCUCCAUUACAGAUGGACAAAUAUUCUUAUCUGCGGAUCUAUUCAAUGCCGGAAUUCGACCCGCUAUUAAUGUGGGUAUUUCUGUUUCCAGAGUAGGAUCCGCGGCUCAAAUUAAAGCCAUGAAACAAGUAGCUGGCAAAUCAAAAUUGGAACUAGCUCAAUUUGCAGAGUUACAAGCCUUUGCACAAUUCGCCUCUGCUCUCGAUAAAACAAGUCAGAAUCAAUUGGCAAGGGGUCGACAAUUAAGGGAAUUGCUUAAACAAUCCCAAGAAAUCCUCUCCCAGUGGAAGAGCAGUUAGCUACUAUUUAUACCGGAACAAGAGGAUAUCUUGAUUCGUUAGAAAUUGAACAGGUAAAGAAAUUUCUGGAUGAGUUACGUAAACACCUAAAAGAUACUAAACCUCAAUUCCAAUAAAUUCUAUCUUCUAGCAAGACAUUCACCGAGCAAGCGGAAAUCCUUUUGAAGGAAGCUAUUCAGGAACAGCUGGAACGGUUUUCUCUUCAGUAACAAAUAAAUUUUGCAUGUCUACUCUUGUUAUUUUCCAUGUCUACUCUUGUUAGUAGAACAGGAAUCGUUGAGAAAGAUUUUUCAUUUGAAUCAUGCAAAAAAGUUUUCUUUGUUUUUAGUUUAGUAUAGUUAUUUAAAGAAUAGAUAGAAAUAAGAUUGCGUCCAAUAGGAUUUGAACCUAUACCAAAGGUUUAGAAGACCUCUGUCCUAUCCAUUAGACAAUGGACGCUUUUCUUUCAUAUUUUUUUCUUUCUUUUAUUUUUUGUCUUCUUCCGAGAAAAAACUGUUAGACCAAAACUCUUUUAGGAAAUCUAAAAAUCCAGAUACAAAUGGAUGAUGUAUAUAUCAUGCAUAUAUCAUAAAGAAGGAGUAUGGAGCCGGUAGUGGGAAUCGAACCCGCAACCCCAAGGUUAUGAGCCUUAUGAGCUACCAAACUGCUCUAUACUCUUAAACUAAAGAGGGGUAACUAGUGGAUAAAAGAGGGUUGGAUACGCCCCUCUACCAUAUCUAUACAAAUAGAAUAGUCCAUUUAUACAGAAUGGUAAAGAGGGCUCCUCUAUGAUUAUCAAUUCCAGAAAUCCAUACAAAUACGAAAGGGUAUUUUAUCCUUACCAACUGGAUCUUGUUGCACCCGCUAACAAACAUUCAUAAAACAUUUCUCGAAGUACGUGUCCGGAUAGCCCAAAAUGUUGAUAGUUAGCUCUAGGUCUUCCGGUCAAAAAACAACGUCGAUGAAGGCGUGUAGGUGCACUAUUACGCGGUAGGGAUUGCAAUUUUUCUCGAAUCUUCGUUUUUCACUCAAACUCAAGGGAGAAACUUUGCUUCUUAUCUUUUUUUUAAAGAUUGACGAAUCAAUUGAUAUUUCUGUUCUAAUUUCUUCCGCUUCUUCUCCCUCUGAAUCAAACUUUUUUUUGCCAUAAUGUGUCGUUGCUAUUAUUACCAAGUAUACGGUUCUAAUCCUAGAUGGAAAAAUAAAUAGAAAAAGAAAUCUAAGAAGGCGGAUCCUCCCUCUCUAUCAAGAGUAAUGAACUAGGUGCUGAUACAGUACAAAAAACAAACUAAAUUAAACAAACGUGCCUGAUGUUGAGGCAAUCAAGAAAGCUGCAUAAGUGAAUAUAUAACCCAAGGAAAAGUGAGCUAAUCCAACCAAUCUUGCUUGCACAAUGGAAAGAGCCACGGGCUUAUCUCUCCAGCGAAUUAAAUUAGCUAAAGGUGUGCGUUCAUGAGCCCACGCUAAAGUCUCAAUUAAUUCCUGCCAAUACCUCCGCCAGGAAAUUAAGAACAUAAGUCCAGUAGCCCAAACAAGAUGUCCAAAUAAGAACAUCCACGCCCAUACCGAUAAACUAUUCAUCCCAAAAGGAUUAUAUCCAUUAUAAGUUGUGAAGAGUUUAACCAUAGGUAAUCUCUUAACCAUCCCAUCAAAUAAGUGGAGGAUUCAUUAAAUUGUGAAACGUUGCCCUGCCAUAAUGUGAUAUGUUUCUAAUGCCAAUAAAAAGUAACCCACCCAAUGGUAUUUAACAUCCACAAAACUGCCAAAUAAAAUGCGUCCCAAGCAGAAAUAUCACAAGUACCGCCGCGCCCUGGGCCGUCACAAGGAAAACUAUACCCAAAAUCCUUUUUAUCCGGCAUUAAUUUGGAACCGCGUGCAUCUAAAGCGCCCUUUACUAAAAUCAAUGUAGUUGUAUGCAAACCUAGAGCAAUAGCAUGAUGAAUCAAGAAAUCCCCUGGUCCUAUUGUUAAGAAAAGCGAAUUACUAUUCUCAUUAACAUCAUUCAACCAUCCGGGCAACCAUAGGCUUCGACCCGCAUUGAAAGAGGGGCCAUUCGUUGACGAUAAGAGUAUAUCCAACCCAUAUGUCGUCUUGCCAUGAGCAGAUUGUAUCCAUUGGGCAAAUAUAGGUUCGAUCAAGAUUUGCUUUUCUGGAGUACCAAAAGCAAGCAUGACGUCGUUAUGAACAUAAAGGCCCAAGGUAUGGAAUCCUAGAAAGAGGCUAGCCCAACUUAAAUGAGAUAUGAUAGCUUCUUUAUGGUCUAACAUUCUUGCCAAUACAUUAUCCUCAUUCUGUUCCGGAUUGUAAUCCCUAAUGAAAAAAAUUGCUCCAUGAGCAAAAGCCCCUGUCAUGAUGAACCCCGCAAUAUAUUGGUGAUGAGUGUAUAAAGCAGCUUGAGUAGUAAAGUCUUGUGCUAUGAAUGCAUAAGGAGGUAAAGAGUACAUAUGUUGAGCUACUAAGGAAGUAAUAACCCCUAAAGAAGCUAGAGCAAGACCUAACUGAAAAUGAAUCAAAUUGUUGAUUGUGUCAUAAAGGCCCUUAUGCCCAUGCCCUAAUCGACCCCCCGGAGAAGUAUGCGCUUCUAAAAGAUCUUUAAUACUGUGCCCAAUUCCGAAGUUAGUUCGAUACAUGUGACUGACAAUGAGAAAAAUAAAUGCAAUAGCUAAAUGAUGGUGAGCCAUAUCAGUCAGCCACAAACUUUGUGUUUGUGGAUGGAAUCCCCCAAGAAGAGUUAGAAUGGUAGUUCCCGCUCCUUGAGCGGUACCAAAUAAAUGAUUACUCGAAUCAGGGUUUUGGGCAUAAAGAUUCCACUGACCCGUCAAAAGGGGUCCCAACCCCUGGGGAUAGGGUAAUACAUCUAAUAAAUUAUUCCAUCGAACGUACUCCCCCUGGAUGCGGGAAUAGCAACAUGAACUAAAUGUCCUGUCCAAGCCAAAGAACUUACCACGAAAAGUCCUGACAAAUGAUGAUUGAGACGAGAUUCCGCGUUUUUGAACCACGAAAGGCUUGGUUUCCAUUUGGGUUGUAGAUGUAACCAACCCGCUAUUAAGGACAGCGCAGAAAGAAAUAAUAGAAAAAGAUCUCCAGUAUAAAGAUCUUCAUUGGUGCGUAAUCCUAUUGUAUACCACCACUGAUAAACUCCAGAAUAAGCAAUAUUCACUGGACCAGCAGCACCUCCUCGAGUAAAGGCUUCCACAGCGGGUUGACCAAAAUGAGGAUCCCAAAUCGCAUGAGCAAUAGGUCUUACGUGUAAAGGAUCCUGUGUACAUGAUUCCAAAUUUCCUUGCCAAGUUACAUGAAACAGAUUUCCGGACGUCCAUAGAAAGAUUAUUGCUAAUUGCCCAAAGUGAGAAGCAAAAAUGUUCUGAUAAAGACGUUCUUCAGUAAUAUCAUCAUGACUUUCGAAAUCAUGUGCGGUAGCAAUACCAAACCAAAUACGACGAGUAGUGGGGUCCUGAGCUAAGCCUUGGCUAAACCUGGGAAAUCGUAAUUCCAUAAUGCCUUUCAAAUCCUCCUAGCCACUAUCCUACUGCAAUAAUUCUCGCUAAGAAGAAUGCCCAUGUCAUGGCAAUUCCACCCAGAAGGUAAUGGGUUACUCCUACAUCACGUCCUUGUAUAAUGCUCAAGGCUCUAGGCUGAGUAGCAGGAGCAACUUUUAAUUUGUUAUGAGCCCAAACGAUAGAUUCAAUGAGUUCUUGCCAAUAACCACGGCCGCUGAAUAAAAACAUUAAACUGAAGGCCCAGACAAAAUGAGCACCUAAGAAAAAAUACCAUAUGCAGAUAAUGAAGAACCAUAAGACUGAAUGACUUGCGAUGCCUGUGCCCACAAGAAAUCUCGAAGCCACCCAUUAAUCGUAAUGGAACUCUGUGCAAAGUUUCCCCCUGUAAUAUGAGUUACCACCCCUUGAUCACUUAUGGUACCCCAAACAUCCGACUGCAUUUUCCAACUGAAAUGGAAAAUGACUACCGAAAUUGCAUUGUACAUCGAGAAUAAACCUAAGAAAACAUGAUCCCAGGCAGAUACUUGACAUGUUCCCCCUCGGCCAGGCCCAUCGCAAGGAAAGCGAAAACCUAGAUUUGCUUUAUCGGGUAUCAAACGGGAACUCCGAGGAAAUAAAACACCUUUCAAAAGUAUUAAUACAGUCACAUGUAUGGUAAAUGCAUGAAUGUGAUGGACUAAAAAAUCCUCGGUUCCUAAUGGAAUAGGUAACAAAGCCACUUUGCCACCUACCGCUACUAACUCGCCGCCUCCCCACGUUAAGCUAGUAGUUGUUGUUGCACCAGGAGCUGUUACGCCAGGCGCAGUAGCAUGGAUAUUUUGUACCCAUUGAGCAAAGAUAGGUUGUAAUUGUAUGGCGGUAUCCGAAAACAUAUCUUGUGGACGGCCUAAAGCACUCAUGGUAUCAUUAUGAAUGUACAAGCCAAAACUGUAAAAACCUAGAAAUAUACAUACCCAGUUAAGGUGGGAUAUGAUUGCAUCGCGGUGUCUAAGGACGCGAUCUAAUAGAUCGUUGUAUCGAGUAGUUGGAUCAUAGUCUCUUACCAUAAAAAUUGUUGCAUGUGCAGCAACACCGACUAUUAGAAAUCCGCCAAUCCACAUGUGGUGUGUGAACAAGGAAAGUUGUGUACCAUAGUCAGUAGCUAGGUAUGGAUAGGGAGGCAUAGAAUACAUAUGAUGAGCUACAACAAUGGUUGUAGAGCCUAGCAUAGCUAGGUUAAGAGAUAAUUGAGCAUGCCAUGACGUUGUUAAGAUUUCAUAAAGACCCUUAUGGCCUUGUCCUGUAAAUGGGCCCUUGUGAGCCUCCAAAAUAUCUUUAGGUCCAUGGCCAAUACCCCAGUUGGUCCUAUACAUAUGACCUGCGAUUAGGAAAAGAAUAGCAAUAGCUAAAUGAUGGUGCGCAAUAUCGGUCAGCCAGAGACCACCGGUUACUGGAUCUAGUCCUCCGCGAAAAGUCAGAAAUUCUGCGUAUUUGACCAAUUUAAAGAGAAAAAAGGGGUUGCUCCUUCGGCAAAACUAGGAUAAAGUUGAGCCAAAAGGUCCCGAUUCAAGAUACAUUCAUGAGGAAGUGGUAUCUCUUUAGGAUCCACCCCAGCGUCAAGAAAUUGGUUAAUUGGUAAAGAUACAUGAAUUUGGUGUCCCGCCCAAGAAAGAGACCCAAGUCCUAAUAAUCCCGCUAAGUGGUAAUUCAACAUGGAUUCUACAUCUUGGAACCAGGCCAAUUUGGGAGCGGCUUUGUGAUAAUAGAACCAAUUUUCUUUAGUUCAGUGCGUACCCGGGACGACCUAAUAGAAAUUCCCUUCAGCUCGGAGGAGAGCGGCGCCACCCCAACCACAGGCCCUCUCUUGGAUCCGGCAGAUGGAGGGAAACCUUCCAAAAGCCAGUCUUGUUCCCUAGCUGAAACAGAUGCAAAGCGGGACCAAGAUUUCGGGGUGAACCUUUUGGAAAAGAUAAAAAGGGAAAAUACCUAUGAAGUACGACAAAAGUAUCCAUCAUCCGACGAUGACGCUCGAAAGGCGGUUAUCGAACAAAUAGAUAAAAAUGAAAUUUUCGGUUCAAUGCUACUCAGACACUUUAAGCAAAGUGCCCCCAUGGGGGCUCUGGGGGCAGAUGCCUUCCACCGUGCUUUUUCCGAUAGGAUCAACCAAAUCAUGAAAUGCGAGGGAAAGGACGCCACAUCACUUAGGGACCUUAUUGAUCUUAAGUACAAUUUGGAGGAUCCUCAAAAGCUGAAUGAGAUUCUCACUCGAUAUUUCAAGAAACGAAAAAGAUAACAGCGUGAUACAAAAACAAAUAAUGAUUUCUCAUAAAACAUCAGGGUAAAGUGGAGAAGAAACGAACGAUCCCUAUAUGAAAUCUAAUUCGGAUUGCUCUACCGGGUCAAAAAACAAGGGAUCGCCUACUAUAAGUAUGAAACUAAGAAAGCUACAUCUUAAUUUAUUUGUAUCUUUGGACCUUUCAAUGAGUGACCUUUAUCAAUAGCUAACUCGGGUGUUUCAACUGAAUCAGACCUCUUGGUCAGUACAGCAGCGCCGGGGGAACCACACUGACUCGGACAUGGCAUUGAUCCUAAAUAGAGAGUUUUCGGGGAGAAGAUGGCUUCAUUGAGACGAGACCCAUAACUAUAGCCACUUCUAGCUCAGUGGCUCAGCAGAGACCUAAACUAAUACCUUAUCGAAAAUGGGGAACAAAAUCCGAUCAUCUCGCCCGGCGAAUGGGAAGUCUUGGUUGGUAUCUUAAUUCGAGUUGGAUUCUUCCUGCAAAAUUGGCUAUGAAUCGCCUGAUGUAUGCCAGGCGCCCUUGAAGCGAACGCAGCUCCUUAAGGUUUUGAGGAGGAGGAAUUUCGAGUAUGGCCUUGAUUUUACUCGGGUCGAUUUCUAUUCCCCGAUGUCGAAUGACAAACCCUAUGAAUUUGCCUGACGAGACCAUGAAGGCGCACUUCAACGGGUUUAACUUGAGUGCAUGUUGCCUUAGGCGGUCGAAUACGAUUCUGAGAUGUUGAAGAUGUUCUUCAUAGGAUACCGCCUUUACAACGAGAUCAUCUACAUAGCACUCGACAAUCUUAUGUAUUAUCUCAUCGAAGAUCUUAGUCAUGGCGCGUUGAUAUGUAGCACCGGCGUUUUUGAGACCUUUGGGCAUAACCUUGUAACAAUAUAUGCCUACUGGAGUGCGAAAGGUUGUGCUUUAUCAAGGCAAGCUUCUCUUUAUACUCUAUUCUAGAAAGGAUCAAUUAUAUUCUCAUCUCCUAUUUGUUUGAGCCAUUCAUUAUAGUGGUGGUGCCGGGAAGGCAGCUUAGCACUCUAGUCCUUUUGAGUAAGGAAUUGUAGCAUGGGCAGGCAAUCUCUUCGAUAGAUUCCCCUCCAGGAAUUACUUGAAUUAAUUAGCCGGCCCACGGAGUGAAAUAUCGAACUUAACCUAUAAAUAACUAGUAUCUCAAAAACCAAAUAAAAGGAUUUAUUUUAAGCUUUUUAAUGGAAUUCCACAGGAGUCAAGCGCUAGCAAAGAAGAAUUGGAAAUCAGUCGCUUCCCUUCUGGACUCAAGUCAGCAGAAGAGUUAACUUCAUAUUAAUAGGUAAAUCCUACAUCAAGCGUAAAGGAAGUACACUUUUUUUGAUUCGGCGCUUAAUAACUCGUACUUGACGUUGGUUUCGGUUCGAUCAACUAUCCUUUUUGAAGCGGAUAGUUCAAAGUGCUCAUUCUCAAAAAAAGCGGAAAAGCCAUGAUGUUUCCACUCCAUUUUCAUUACGAAGAUGUAUUACGUCAGGAUCUGUUGCUCAAACUGAAUCACGCCAAUGUUAUGGAAGUUCCUGGAUUGUUUGAAAUAAGAUUAGUACCAAAAGCUGCCUCUGAUUUCAGAAUCCAAUUUGGAAAAUUGGCUAUGGAGAUUUUGUGCGGUCAGAGAUUCAUACAGACACAAAGGGGCCCCUAUUUUCAAGCAGGAAAGUCGUUUCGAUCCAAUCCAUUCUUGGGGUCCGAAAAAGACACUGGAUAUGUCAGUGACUUUGUCCGACAAAGCGUUCUCCGAGGGCAUGGAAUGUACCAUUUUUUGGUAAGAAUCUUGACAGUAAUGUCUAUGUUAGAUUCUCCGGUCGAAAUACGGGAAAACUCCAUCAAAUUCUUUAUGGAAACGGAGUUUUGCGAAUUCUCCCCGGAACUGGAAGAUCAUUUCGAGAUCUUCGAGCAUAUUCGAGGGUUCAAUGUGACUAUUGUCACUUCGGCCAAUACAAAAGAUGAGACUUUACUACUGUGGAGCGGCUUUGUGAUAAUGGAACCAACCAGCAAAAAGCAUUAACGCUGCAAAAAUCAAUGCACCAAUUGCAGUACAAUAGAGUUGUAAUUCACUAGUUAUUCCAGAUGCUCGCCAAAGCUGAAAAAAACCUUAGGUUAUUUGGAUUCCUCGGAAACCCCCACCUACAUCACCAUUCACUAUUUCUUGCCCUACUAUAGGCCAAACUACCUGAGCACUGGGUCCAAUGUGAGUAGGAUCACUUAGCCAUGCUUCAUAAUUGGAAAAACGGGCACCAUGAAAGUACAUGCCACUCAACCAAAGAAAGAUAAUGGAAAGUUGCCCGAAAUGAGCAGUAAAGACUUUUCUAGAAAUCUCCUCCAAAUCACCAGUAUGACUAUCGAAAUCGUGAGCAUCGGCAUGUAGGUUCCAGAUCCAAGUGGUAGUAUCAGGGCCCUUAGCUAGUGUUCUUGAGAAAUGGUCGGGUCUGGCCCAUUCCUCAAAAGAUGUUUUUACAGUAUCCAUAUCCACAACAAUUUUUACUUCUGGUUCCGGCGAACGAAUAAUCAUUAAGUCCUCCACAAGAGCAUAUCCAAGUGGAUCAUCAACUGAAAAGGCAAUAAAUGAGAAGUUGAUUCCCGUACAAUUGAAUUUAGUUGGUUUAAAGCGAGUUCACUUGUCCAGCUUCUUCUAUAUCCAAUGCACUCUCAAUUGGACAGAAGGAUCUGCCCACAUAUUGGUUAAUGUAAUGUUGUUGUGGAGUUUUGGUACCUACUACUAUGUCCAAUCAGUUCCAACUCUGAAAGUUCAGGUGAAUUUGGUAACUAUCUAGAUACCUUUAAAGGUCAUAAUUGUCAUGGAAGGAUAUCCAGACGAGUGUCCAGGGUAGCCAAGCAAGAUACCAUGCGCAGUGCCUCAUCGAGGAUUGUUCUAGCCAUCUCCACAGGGGUCCGUACGGUUCUUCCUCAAAUGGGUUGCCUCAAUCUUUAUCAAAGUUUUGGUAUCUAGCUUAUCCAGCUACAGUAUAGUAUACUCCUUCCUUGCUCGAUAGAGCUCUUUGAAUCCGCUUCAACUAAAUGCGUAAAAUAGAGUAAUUUCUUCAAAAGCCAGUUUCUUUCGAGAAGGCAGGAGGCCCAUAGCGAGUUACAAUAGUGCCAGUUCUUGUAUGGAAGGCCGUAAUUCCGGUAACCUCGACUGCUCUAAGAAUGAUCCGUGCUAGACGGGCACAUCACAUCAAAGUUAGGUCAUUUGUCAAAAACAUGGCAAAUAGCUCAGUUGGUUUGGUAAGGGAGCUAUUCUCUCACUUAAACCACUCCCAUAUUAGGUAUCCUAUCUCGUCUUAAAGUUCCCCGCAUUACCCAUAACUUACCACCUGUAUCUCCGGAACUCAAAUCGCAAAAUGACAAUGCUUUCGAUAGUCUGUACUAAAUUACUUUGUACGAAUGCACAUCUCGGCCGUCGGGUAGCUGAUCACCAUUUCAAAGUCUAUAUCCGUGGUUCAAGAAAUGGAAUUGCUAUUCUCGAUUCAGACAAGACACUGAUUUGUUUAUGAAACGCUCUUCAUUUUAUAAGAUCUCCCAUUCGUCAAAAAGGCCGUUCCUUCUUUUUAAAGACCAAUUAUUUAUUUAUUUAUGAGAUAACGAAAGAAAUGGCGAGCUAUUUAAGAAGCUAUUUAAGAAAUGUGAAUUCUCAUUGUUUCGAUGAUUCUCAAUGGAAGAUCGGGGCGUUUUUGACCAAUUCUUUUGCAAAUAAAAAAAAUUCCGUUCAAGAAAGAAGAAGAUCAAUUUUGGGUUGAACCAACAACCUGAUUGUGUGGUUAUUUUGAAUGCAGAUAGAAAGUCUUCGGUCAUACUGGAAGCUGAUCGAUCACAAAUACCUAUUCCAUCCUUAGUUGAUUCUACGAUCCCAUGAGAAUCCUAUAAAAGAAUCACUUAUCCCAUCCCAGCGAAUGAUCCUAUACAGUUCGUAUAUCUAUUUCGUCAUUCGGUCAUGAGAACAGUGAUUCUUAAACAGAAUGCGAUUAGUAGAGAGACGCCACCAUCGCUUAGCAGAGUCACUUUUAAGACGGUGUCCACUGGCAUGCACUCCACCUCUUCACCCCGAGGAAGAAAAGUGUCUCUUGUGAGACUGAACCCCAUGAGAACCGUUUCUUCGGCUGUCUUUGAAUUAUUAGCGGCAGCACAACCCUUCUUUACCAAUACUACUGAGAGUCUACCCCAGCCACAAGGGGGGCUGCUCAAAUAGUUCAGGAGACGCCAGCCCCACAAGGGUUCACGGAGCUCCAACCUAUACAAGGGCCAGCUAUACCUUUAAGUUUGCAACUUGAUUUUCAAUCCCAAGCUCAUUUUCUUGACUUAAUGACAAGACAUGCAAUUGGGGAGAAUAAUAUGUUUUAUAAAAUUCCUGGUCGUCUGCAUAACCCAAUAUUAGAAAAUUAUGGAUGUGCAGGUCCAAGUACUUCGACUCCACCGAUAUUAGAAAAUUAUGGAGGUACAGGCCCAAGUACUUCGAAUCCACCAAUGGAUUUAUCUCCAACAAUGGAUAUGGAUGUAUCUCCUACCAUUCAUGUACCUCUUAGCAAAGAGCAAAUCUAUUUCAAUUUGGUGCAUCUUGAUGCCACUAGGAAAACCUCGGUAUUAUCCCAAGAGAAGCUUAUGACACUAGUAGAGAUAAUUUAUAUUAAGAAAUCGUCAAUACUAGCGGAGCUAAUGGAUAAAUCUGGCCCUCAAAAUUGCCACAUCCUUUGGAAUACGGAUGGUGCUGGCAAUGCCAUCCGAAAAGGAAACGGAGAAGAAUAUGAUGUAAAAACCUUAAGGGAGAUCCUUAAAAGUUUGCGAAGUAAUGAGGAAUUACGUAAAAGUCAUUAUUUGGGGGAAAUUUGGAAAAGAAGGAUUUCAGACCUCCCUAAAGCCAAAUUAAAACUUUUAAGAGUGGAAGAUAUACCCGGGGGGGAUAUACGAGAUUCUUUGACCCAGAGAAUCGGGCCUGACUGGGAUAAAUUAGAUUCGAUGAACCAGAAAAACCUCUGUACUGAGUGGAAAGACUUUGAGAACCCGACCAACCUCCGGAAUCCCGAGGACUGGUAAUGAGAGGUUCCUAGAUGUGGGGAAAUAAGUUCUUCAUUUGAAGAGUUAGUUGGCUGGCCUACCGGCCCGCAGAUGUAGAGAGGUUGCCCCCGCCAUCCUCUUGAACUGCUAAAUCAAAGCGAUUCCUAUUGAUGGAAGAAAGGCUAAUUUCGUUUGAUCCGAUCCGCCUAUGCCAGUUCGAGUCUGGCGAGUCGCUAUCAUCUGUUGCCCUAACUUUUUCUAUUAGCUCAUCUUGUCCGUAGUGAUAUUUUGGAGAAGGAGCAAUUACCGGAGUGAGAAAGGUAGAAAGAAGCAAUCACGAAAGCUAGUGCUAGUUGUGGCUUUUUGUACUAAUCUUGUUUGUUCGGUAGCUCGCAUCAGCAGCUUUAAAAGGAAUAGAAAACGAGGCUUUUUCCACCACACCAGGGGCGGGCAUUACGCUCAAGCAGGGGAAGUCAAUUUGACUGCUGCUCGAGAACCUGUUUGAACAAGAAGAAGUAGCAUGGCUCCAGCGGGGCGGAGCCAAUUGGCUACGACAUGGUGACCGAAAUACAAUUUUUUUCCACCACUUUGCAAUUGCAAGAAAAAAGAGGAAUCUGAUCAAGUACUUGAUGAGCGAUACUGGAGAUCGAAUAGAAGGUAAUGACUUACUCGGUGCACAUAUUUAGGGCUAUUUCUCUCAUUUGUUUACCUCCGAGGUCCUAGCUCCAGACCCGGAUGCGAUUAACAAGGUGCGGGCGAGGGUCACGCAGCAGAUGAAUGAGAGUCUCCUGGCUCCAUUCACAGCAGACGAAAUAAAGAAAUCACUGUUCAAUAUUGGGGAUUUGAGGGGCCCGGGACCAGAUGGGCUUCAUGCUGUAUUUUUCAAGCGUUUCUGGCUGAUGCUUGAGAAUGACUUAGUGACUGAAGUACUCCAGGCCGUGAACACAAAACAUAUCUGAGGGCUGGAAUGACACAGUGAUCAUGCUGAUACCAAAAGUGGAGAAUGCAGAAAAGGUAACGCAAUAAAGACAAGCCUAUGUAACGUUAUUUAUAGGGUGAUUAACAAAAUGCUUGCCAACCGGGAAUAUUACCAGAGAUUAAUGGUGCUUCCUGAAAGAAAUAAUGCUUAAGAUGGGGUUUGCACCAAGAUGGGUUUCUUUGAUGAUGGAAUGUGUAUCAUCUGUAAAGUACCUUGUUCGGUUUAAUGACCAUGAAACUGAUAGUUUUGUACCCUCAAAAGGGCUUCGCCAAGGAGACCCCCUCAGUCCGUACUUUUUUCUUUAUGUGCAUAGGGGCUCUCAAGCUUGUUACUUCAUGCUGAGGAGAACAAUAAUCUUUUGGGAGUGAAGGUGUGCCGGGACGCCCCCUCGGUGUCACACCUCUUGUUUGCUGACGACUCCCUCAUUUUGAUGAAGGCUGAUGCAAGUAAUGCAGCCUGUCUGAAGAACUGUCUUGAUUCUUACUGCGCCUCAUCUGGCCAGCUGGUAAGCGACGGUAAAUCAAGCAUCUAUUUUAGUCCUAAUACUACUGUUGAUCAUAGAGUGGAGGUUUGCACAGCUUUGAACAUCAUGACCGAAGCUCUAACAGAUAAAUACGUGGGACUACCGCCCUUGGUUGGCGCAGAGAAAAGUCACUGUUUUAAAGAUUUCUCAAAAAAAACAAUCCGGUUCACCAUUUUAGAAUCGGUAGACUCACGUCAGAUCCGUCAUCCCUACUUACACUAGCCACCAUUGCUGUCUGCACAAGACGAUACGGCGAAUCAAGGACUGUGAUUGGAUUCAAACUUCUUUGUAUGACAUAUCCCGUCCUUUCCAUGCGCCUAUAUGCUUAAAAUGCAAGAGGUGGAUGGUAUCGAUCAGCGGUUCCGGGUAGUGCCCCCUCAGAACGAGGUAAGAGCGAAUGAUCUUUAGCUGGAGGGAAUCAUCAUUUUCCCUAAUUUAUUAUACUCGAAAGCCGUUGCACAGGAAACCUGUGCAUACGUUUUCUCGCUUUUUUUGUUCUUUUUCUGAUUGGAAGGGCAACCAACAAGGGUAGAAAUAGGUGAUUCCACCGAGCUUUCCUUCGGGAUGAAAUGAGGAAUCUCGAUCUGGUUGCUACCUGCUGAGCCAGAAGGCAACGUAUACACAAGUAUAGACUAUAGGUAACACUGUAGGGUACAACCUUGGGUAGUCUUAGGGUUUUCCAAGAUAUGAUAUGAUCGGGUUAUUUAUUAGAAUUGGAAAUAGCUAGACGAAUAAGUAGGCUUUAAAAGGACGAAUAAAGUAGGCCUUCUAACUCAAAGUACUCCAACUUAAGGAAAGACAUGCAACAUUGGUGAUCAACGUAUGGAAUUUCCGUUAUUCCGUUCCCAUUGAUAAGGGGCUUUGAACACCUCGGGUGCGCGGUUACUCUCGGAUGGUUCACGGGAAUUCCAGGUAGUUUCUACUAAUAGCUCAUUUUCCUGUAUCGAUAAGAGAAAUGGCAUCAUGUCUUCUUCCGUAGCCUGAACUAUCCAACUGGACUCCGGCUAUGCGGAUUGCUUUCUUCAUUUCAGUUGGGUAAUUCGACCGUCCACCUUCCAUGAAACUUGAGUUGGCUUUGAUCGAUUGCUUGGUGUCACGCUAUUUACUACUACGGUUAGCGAAAUUCGUUUAUGACACCGAUUCAUUUCUAGUUGAUCCAUUUUGUAAGGUCGUUCAGAAGCAAAGGCCUACUACUCUACUAGUAAAGUAAGCUGGUCAAGUCAAAAGAAGGUUCCUGACUAUCUAGUAAAUGAGUGCACGAAGAAAGGGAAUGGCAUGUUCACAAACUGGUACUUUUCUCCCGGUAGGUAUGUUUUACAAUAGGCAUGUGCCAUGAGGCAAGAAAAGGAAACAUGUAGAUAAUGUUCUAACGUGCCGCUAUUUACGACGAGUAUCUAAUGGAUCUAGGAAAGAGAAAAUGAAAAUGCUGCUGUCACCCUACACUAGAGAAUAGAAAGGCAAGAUAGACUAUUGAAGCCAACCUUUUCAUCCCCAAAAGCCUUUGAAAGACCUUACCCAUCUAUAUCUGAAGCAACCUAAAAAAGCAGGUGACGUUGUUGCCCGAGGAGUUGAUGACCUUGUAGAAGCAUUUGCCCCUGCUGCUCUUUCAACUCAAGAGGAUCAAAACAUCGCCGGUAAACAGCAGAGGGGGAACCUGUUCCAAAAGCAAGGUAAAGAGUCUUUACGAAUGAAAAAGAGAAUCCCAAGAAGGGGACACAAGAGCACGGUCUAAUCUGGCUUGCACUAAUGUGGAACUCAAUCUCCUAUUUUUCCAAGUGAAAGCCGGGCCGACGAACCCCGUGUCAACAAAGCCCCAAGUCUGUGAUCAAAUUAUUUUUGAUCUUGUCCCUUCCUUCGAUUUCUUUGUUAAGGGAACAGUUCAUUGGAUCUUCUACGGCUCCCACCUCUGUUUCGGCACCGGCUCCUAAAAAAAAGUACUAGGAAUGGCGAAUGGUUCGAUUGAGGCUAACGCAGGAGCUAGUACUCCCCUGAGCACCAGACCCCUUCCUUAUCGGUAUCCCUAAUCGAAUCCUAUCUCUCUGGGGAAAGGUAUCUUUUUUCAAUUCGAACAACGGUAUCCCUACCUGGCAAACUAUCCUCAUUUUCGAAGUCCCUAGUUUUGUCCUCUGCUGUAGUAUUCCGGUUAGUAGACGGCUUCCUUCAUCGGAAAUCUAGCCAGUGCUUUCCAUUAGGUGUGCAACGAAGGAUAGCCUUGUGCAGAGGCGGGGACAGGAUUCGAACCUGCUGUCUUCAGAUCAUGAGCCUGAUGAGUCGACCAAUUCCUCUACCCUGCUUCUUCCCCUGAUCUUUCUUUCCCUCUUCCCACCGGGGUUCCCCUUGCUUGCUUGGCCGGGAUAGAACCAGCGUUUAGGCUGCGGCUAGGCGCGGAGGUUGGAGCUCCCUCCUUGACUGACGACUGGUACGAACUUGCUGAAAGCACGAGCGUAGAGGCGAAAGAAGAAGCGAGGGGAUUGAGCUUCCAAGCGAAAGAACAAGGGAUGAGCGCUUUGUUGCGCCUGCGCAUACGUUUCUAUACGCUAAUUCCUGACUGACUUGAUAGUGCGAUGAGCUUACUUGCUCUAGUUCUAUCCUCAGGAUAGACUUACCUGAGUACCUAGCACCGAGGAUCGAUGUAAUUGACUUGAAAAAAGAUGUUGUUGAUGCUAACAUGCAUAUAAAUAGAUGUUCCCCACUGCUUGAUCCUCUUACUCGAAUGGGGUUAUAUGCCUUAGUCAAACUCAGGGUAAAGUGGCAGAGGUAUGACCUCAGGAAGAAAGAAAGAUCGGGCGGGGAAAACGGGGUUCGAACCCGCGACUUCUGGCGUGACAGACCAGCACUCUAACCAACUGAGCUAUUUCCCCCUUCCGUAACUACUAUCGAUUCAACAGUCACCUAUCGGUUACCUUUGUAACUAUCCAAAGUAGCUGUACAACAGAAUGCCCUUCGCCUUUAGUACUUUUUUCUUAUAUAUAUUAUGUUAUAUACUAAAUGUGUCAAAGCAAUAGAACUUACUGAAAAAAAAACAAGCCCAUCUUUCUCAAAAAGGAAGAGAGGGUGCGCCCCCCCAGAGAGAACCCCAUUCUUUCAAGAAAGUUCUAAUUAAUUAUGUCGAAAAAGAAAUAAGGAAAAUAGGAGUAAGCGAGUAGGGUCAACAAGAUUCUAAACGAAUACCACAAGUGACGGAACCGACGACGAUGAAGAGAUAAGGGGCGAAGGAUAUUUUUUCUAUUAUUCCAAUUCUUAUUUAUUGAUUGAUUAUCUAAUUUAUUUAGAUCCAUAUUCAUUUUCAUUUGCAAAUACAAACUCUCUUUCAUUUUCUUUUUACUUUUGCGCUAAGGAUAAGGGAACUGAGAAAAAAAGAGCUGGCUUGGCUGGUACAUCAAGCAUAUGACAUAUUGCUUGUUCGGUGUGGUACACAUAUCUGUCAAUGUCAAUCAAGUAAGAAAAUGCAUUCCCACUGUCUGAGGAAAAGGUGAAGAAUUGCAAUUUAUUGAGCUUGUAAGGCCCGUUGAAGUCCCCGAGAAAGGGUAUAAAUAGGGCUAUAAGUAGGCCGUUUGCUAUUGCAAUAAGGGCUGCUCGCCUUUCCUUUUGACGGCUUGGCUUCCUAUCGCUCCUAUGUAGUGGUCGGCCUUAAAAGGAGUCUUCCUACCAUACCAUCAUGCAUGCCUAUGUUAUAGUGCGUUAAGCUUCGCCAGAAGCAAGCAAGAUGAUGAAGCGAAGCUUCGUAGACAAGGCUCGUUCCGUGCUUGACUUACGAGAUCGUGUAGUAAGGCCUCACCCUACUUCAAUAAGGGCUUAUGCACUCCACUCGUAAACGAGCGUUAGAGCUUUUUGAGUGAGCGAGCGAAGCCUUCCUGGAGCUUCCCCCUUCCCUCACCCGAGAAUUGCAUUUCCGCUUCAGCUUCCCCGGUUUAGUUGGUUUGGAGGGUUAAUUGAUUGGAUACCCAAUCCGCAUAAUCUUUCAAAGUCACUGCUUCUACGACGAUAGGCGUAAAGGCAUGAUUAGUUCCACGAAUCUCACUGCACUGACCAUAGUAAACUCCUUCUCGUUGUACCGAGAUGGAGGUAAGAUUUGAACGACCAGGUACAACAUCACAUUUGACACCUGAGGAAGGUACAGCCCAACUAUGAGGUACAUCAGCGGGUGUUACAAUCAUACGUAGAUGAGUUUUGGCUGGUACAACCACUCUAUUGUCAACUUCUAAUAAACGUGAUUGACCCAAUUCUGGAUCAUCUUCUGGAAUCGUAUAACUGUCAAAACUGAGUGACUGUUCAUCGGAGCUGUUAUAGUCCGAAUACUCAUAAGGUUGGGUCGACGCCCGCCUCCCCCCAAACUUGACUUGCAAGUUUCCCCGCAAAAAGCUCUCCACGCCUACUCUUAUUUAUAAAGAGCACUAUUCUUCUUUAGUUAGGCAGUUCUCCCCCCUCUAUGAGACCGUAAGACCCCGGUGGAAUCGAAGGCCCGCUUACUAAUAGGCAAGAGGGGACCCUUUCUCGCCCAGCCCUACCUACAUCAGUGAAGCUGGAACCGAGGAAGACAAUGUUCAACACACAUGAGACAGAAAGAAGGUAUGGGACGGCUAGUUCACCACGGAAAGGGAUGCUAGUCGGCUUUGGCGAAGUUGUAGGCCCCAAUAGAUCAGAUCAAGAGUGAUUCCUCACCUAUCCUGCCAGGGGCCAAGUCGAAGGCUCUAGUAUAGAUUCCCUAUGCUCAUGUGAACGGCCGGCCCGUAGAUCUAAAAGGAUCCAUAAAAAAGACCGGAAAUUAUGUUUGUCCACGAAAAAAACUCGUUCAUGAGACCUCGAAUUCCCACGUUCCAGCCUGCAUUAUGCUAGUAGGUCCCAUCCCCAAUUUAUUGAGUCACCCUUAUCUAAAAGAAAAAGGACAGAGUCUAUCUAGAUCAUAGGAUCACUGUAUUCAGAGGUCAAUUCUCUUUCUUUGACCUCCCACCGUUCAUGUCAUCCCUUGCUUCUCGCAAGAACGGCUCCUCGGUGGAGGAGUAGAAGCGCUGGUCCCCUUCGGUCAAGUGCUUGUGCGUGCUCUUACCUACCAUAGGACCUCCGUCCCCGAAGCAAAGAAGGAGGAGCAGGAACAACAGGUUGUCCUCUCUUGGCCCAGUAGUUCCGCAACUACUACCGUGGUUGUUGCCAACGGGGUUCCCCCAUUCCGAAAGGUAACGGGACCAGCCCUUAGGUCCAAAGUUGUAUGCCACUGCUGUGGUGCCGAUAGAUUCACUACUGAAGCCCCGUUAUCGGACAUUGCAGGCUUAGCAUCUAUUUUUCGUAUAUCGCUCCACCACAUCGAGAAGAGGUAUGUGUACCUCCAGCAAUAACAAGAAUGGAACCAUAGGCUCCUAUGCUGGGAGCAUUUCGGGGUAUAGGUCUAACCACCUCAACUCCCCGUUUCUGGCAUGCUAUAGUUCUUUUAGUCUCUCGACGACGGGAAUGGGAGAUGACCGGUAAGCCAGAUGCUUCGUGAACCACCGGUACAUUUCGUUGCACUUAAAUCACCCUCGUUAAGAGGCGCACUCCGAUACCAUUGAUGUCCAAUAGCUUUGAUAGUAAUGGCCGGAUCUACUAAUACCCCGUCCAUUGAGUAUAACAGAGCAAAUGAUGGUAUAGCAAUGAACAAAAGAAUGACACUUGGAAAUAUGGUCCGGAUAAUUUCGAUAGUAGUUGCAUGAACAAUCCUUUGUGGGAUUGGAUUAGUUUGCUCGUUGAAAUGCCAUAAAGCGCGAACCAACAUCUGUGAUACGAAAACCAAAAUAAGAAUGAGGAAGAAAAAGAUAUCGUGAUGUAAGUCAAUGAUUCCUUGCAUCAUAGGUGUUGCUGCGUCUUGAGAUCCUAAUUGCCAUGGUUCCGCAGCAUCACAAAGAGGGAUUGUGAGGAAUCGACAUUCUAAUAAACGAAGAAUCAUUGGAAUUUCCCAUCUUUUUCAGCUCUGCUCCCGAAAAGAGAAAGGAGACUGAUCUUGACAUCGGCGUUGGUUUUUCCAACGAAACAUUCUUUCACGAACUAAAUGCUAGUUGCCUUGUAACGCAUACACUGGAUUGUCCCAUCGACGAGGGCCAAUGAGACUAUUCUACGCGUUUUCUGAGGAGCAACAUGAGACUUUCUUUUCCGUUGGUUUUUCUAUUUUCUAACGAAAGUAAACUUGUUUUUAAAGUUUAGUUUCAUGUAAGUUCGUGUCCCGCGGGAAUAACUAGUUCUCUAAUUGUUUCGGUUGAGGAAUGCCCAGUUCUAGUUAUAGUUCCAGGCAUCAUAAGUAAGAAGACCUACCAGAUGAAAACUAUAUAACGAUCCCUCACAGGAGAGACCCGGUAACCGAGUCGACUUCCCCUGGCAUCACACUCCUCUUCAACGCCGGUUCUUACAAAAAGAAAGCAAGAAGCAUGCCAGGUCAAAAACAUGCAAGGAUGACAAGACUUAUUGCAAUCUGGAUAGCUUUUUUGCAAACAACAAGAGGUCAAUAAAAGUAUCCGACCAGGGGUCUUGGUCUAGCCAUUAGAGAUAGAGACUAAGCUGAGCCAAGCAAAGCUUUGCUAAGAAAGCAGUCUCAUGUUUUGGAUAAUCAGUUGGUCUCAGGUAGCCUAAUUCUCCUUUCGAACUACGGAAUUCGGGUUGGAUAUGGUGAUAAGCCAAGCCUAAAACUACCAUCGCUUAACCCGGUGAGGAAGAGCUUCCAAUCGAAUAUGCUUAACAAACCCAGCCGUCGGGCUACGAGUGGGGAUUUCUAGGGAGAUUCAAGCUGUGGCUCCGCUAGCUUUAGUCGGCAUAAGAACAAAGAACUAAAUGGGUCUCCUUAGCCUUUUGUUAGCUUCGGUGGCCUGGAGUCUUCUACGGGGCAUCUCUUCUUUAUAGAUGAGAAGUCGAUUCAGAACACGCAAGAAAAGGGUUGAUGGAACCAUGCAAAGAGUGCUCAUUAACUCACUAGCGUCCCAAUAAAAUCAUUCCAAAGUACUUCUCCAUUUCGGAACAAGCUCUUGGUGAAAAAGACUGGCGUGUAGUCCGAAAAGCGCCUAUGGAAGAUCUACUAUUUUCCUUCGCACCAAGUCAAUCUCCAUGCAUAUAUUCUGCCAGUUCUCAUUCAACUUCUUUUCAUCCGGGAAGCUUCCCCGCAACUCCAACUACCGGAAACAUUAGCUCGAACAUUUGAGUUAGAGAUGAAAAGGACCGCCCUUCAGCUAGAACCCUCCCUUAAAGAAAUGAAAUUGAGUCAGCGACCCUAUGAGAGAGGAAGAGUUCUGUUGUGUCCAGUCAUCGUCUAUUCAACUCAAAGAAUUUCUAGUUUGAUUAGCAUAAAGAAAGUGCCAGCUAGGCCAGCCAUUAGUACCAUAGCUUUCCCAAGAAGGAUAGGAGAUGGAUCAGACUCUUCAGCGGGAAAGAAUGCGAUCAAAGGACCCUAUGAAUACUACUAGCCGUAGCUGUGGUUGUGGCAAAGAAGCAGGCAGGGAAGGAGAUGUCCUUCUUUAAAGGAAUUUCGUCAGGGAUCUAUUCCUUGAAUCAAUAAAUCAAACUAAAAGUCUGGCAGUGCGAGAGGCCAAUAUGACUAUCUAUAUCAGUUCUUCGCCUUGGUCUACUCCAUCAUGUAGUGAGUCGAUGUCUGUCCCUAAGGAGAAAGACGAAGCAAAACCCCAACGACUAGAUUAUAGGGUUGGACCCCAUUUUUUCAAGAAGGAGCAUGAAGGUGCCGAAAAUACGGCUUUUAUCACGUUUGAGAGUUGUUCCCUCUUAGGGCUGAAAGUGGAAAGUCUUCGAGUAUCGUCGUCCUUCUAUUGAUAGAUUAAGGAUUCAGAUAGAUUCAGAGAAGGCCAACUUAUCUCGAUCUGGUCAUUCACCCGAUAUAGGAAUACCUUUUAGGAAGGCAAGACUAGAAAAAAGUCCGAUUGACCGAAGAUGUGAAGAAAUCGACUGCAUUAGCCCUUCAUAAGGGAAUACCUGACUCAGUCAAUUCUUUAGUUGACAUCAAGACCAAGUCCCAUUGACUCUCUUGGAGGAAGAUCCGCCAAGGGGCGAAGCGGUCCAAUUCAAUGUUUUACUGUUACGCUAAGUAACUCUCCUAUUAGGAAAUCGAUCUAGCUGCUUAUCCUAUAGAUAGAGAGUGUCGGCAAUCACCUCCGCUAUUUCAGCUCUUGUCGGCAUAACAGCUUCGGUAGUAUACCUACCUAAACAGAUAAUUCGUACCAUGAUUAGCAGACCUUUCUCAACUCUAGCGAUUUCAAGCGGACCAGUCUCCAAUUACCUUGCAAAGCGUUAGCGCUAGCCAGGUCAAUAGUUCAAGUAUCAAUGAAAGUCUCUAUUUCAGUAAAGUAGAAAUGACAGCUGUUUAGGUAACAGAAAAUGCCUGCUAGAGGUAUGAUUCCGAUCUUUGUGCAAGCAGUAAUAUAUGCUAUGGCACUUUUUGGCACAGCUCCUCUUUAAUGCCAGUUGGUGUGAGGGAGUUCGCUGGGGAUGUGAACUGUUGAAUCAUGAGUCAAGAUAUCCAUGCACAGUAAAGAUCAAUAGGUUGAAAUCAGAUAAAGGCAAAUAUGGCUUUGAGGAAGAAUACGAACGGGAUUCCACAUUCAUAGGCUAUUAGGCAGAUUUGGAUUCUCCUGGCAAAGGCAGAUAUUUCUAUGCAUUCCUCUGCCAAGUCCAGUUCCUCUCAGUCUCUCGAUUGCAUCGGCCAGGUCCUUCCGAUAAAAGCUCAUCCCUUCCUCCAAGAGCUAUCCAUCUAUUCGAAGGAAUGAAAGCUCAACCGGAACAAACGCUAGAUUCAAGUCCUUUGGUUGCCACCCACCACCAGUGGGAGAGGUAGAACAAUGAAUCAAUUUCCUAGAUCCAAUGGUUUCUCGGGCGAUCCCAUUCCCAUUUCCACCUAUCGAAGCCCAACCAAGUGAGGCACUUCCACCGGAUUCGUUCAAAGCUUUCCAUCGGGUCAAACAAGCGACUCUCGUUCCUAUGAUUCACCCGAUACUCUCCACCUGUUGUGGAUCCGAAGCUAGCCCACCUCAUGUUCCCAUCCAUGGAUCCAAGCUUUAAACUACUCAUUCAUCUUAGGCAAAGCACUAGUUGGAAGUGAAGAGGGACUAUUAGCUAGCUUCUCUUGUUUCUUUACUUGUGGAAUUCAUCAGAUGUAGCAGGAAAUAAUUACCAAGUGUGUACGCUCAAUCCGUAGCUUGUUUUGGUUAGCUUUAUCCUUGAAAGAAUAAGCAGCUUCUUGUUUAGGGCGGGCUAUCUUGACUCUUGAGCUUGAGAGGGAGAAGGCUUCCCGCGUGGACGGAUUAGCAAUCCCUAGUCUUCCAUAACGUGUAUUGGACUUAUGUUUCCUCCUCCUCGAAGAUGAUGGAUCUAUGGUUACCACCAUUCUUUAUGGCUCUGUACCAAUAGUACAGAUUCGAUUUAGGCUCUUUAAAGAAUCACCCAACUGGUUUGAUUUCUUUUUUGCAGUAAUCAGAAAGUUAGCUCUUUUUCCAGACCUGUGGCCUUGGAGUUCAUCCCCGUCCUCUACCAGGUGAGAAGGAAGAUGAGAGAUACGUUCCUCGUCUUCAACUUUCUUCCAGGAAAGCCUUUCACCGAGCGAGCAGCUAAGCGAGUUCAUCCGCAUCUGUUGUCGUUCAAGUAGGUCUUUGGUUGUAGUAGUGUAGGCAUAGGAGAAGACUGAUUCCUAGCCUUUCUAUUUACUAAGGUCAGGAAGGGGGUAAAGGGGGAUCGGGGCAAGAUGAAAAGUUCAAGUUCAUUCCUCCCUCUAAUUCCAUCUCAGCCUAUCCGCCACAGAACAGGGGCGGGCUCUUUCUUCUUGUUCUUGCGUGACAUCUCGGUAAGGCUUUAGAUAUAUAAGAACUAGGGAAAAGAACCUCUUGCCGUCCUUGUCGAUCGAAAAAAAGUAGUAAAAUAAAAAAAAGGAUUCAAAUUUGCGUACUACUCCCUAGCUUCUUGAAACCACCAAUCCAUUACGAUGCCAGCAAAGAAAACCAACGCUUAAGACGCUAUUGGAGACUCGCGUAGCUAUUAUUCGAAGCUUAUAAUUUCUUUACUGCGUUCAAGGCAUGACCGCGUGAUAGCUGUCCUUUUCCCCCUACUCAAGAAGAAGAGUUACAUGUGAGUUCCGAUCGUGAUAUGACAAACAAAUCUUACUUUUUCUUUCCCAAGCUGGCGCAUAACCUCUGGACCAAUAGGAAGAUCGAUGACCCGCAUCCUACAACUUCAAAGAAGUAUUUUUAUCACACCCGAGCAAUGGACCGGGGAAGGAGUUUCAUUCAUUUACGGAGUUUGGAAGCGAGGACGAUCCAGGAUCGACUGCUAUCUGAAGAAGUGGAGUGGAAUGAAUCUGAUUACCCAUUGGCGUCUGCAUUGACGCUUCUGACUAGCCCUACUCUGUGUAUUUUGCGUUUCCUUAUUCAUGUACUCAUGUCUAUUUGUAUUUGUAUGAUACUGAUAUUGCAAUCGAUCUAUCCCUUGGUCCUGCCAAUCGAAUUGUUAAGUAUGUUUUUUCCCUUUCGAGAAAUGGUGACAGUACCAAAUGCCGAAUUAGCGGCUGUACCAAAUGGUCAAUGCCUCUGGGGUUUCCCUUCUCUUCAGCUCUCUCCGGUUUCACCGAUGUGUUGUGGCAUGAAAAACAGUGUACAUGCACGCUUAGACGCCCUUGCUUAAGGCAUUCAUCUAUACUCUCCCGCGGGGGAAGCGAGCUAUUCCUUCAAUAAUGCUUGAUCCAUCCUUUAGGGCACAAGUCAUUCCCCAGAAUAGAUCCCUUCGGAUAAAUCUCUAAACUAGAAUCCAUCAGUAGUAGUUAAACUCGGAGACCCGUCCUGUAACCCUACUCCAGUCUCGCACAUCCCAUCCAGGCAAAGCAGUCUUGCCAAACGUUCUAAUUGUUGAAUUACUACUUGUAAAUAUGUAUUUCCUUUAGCUCUACUCAUUGAAGAUUUCCCUCGUUAUAGUAACUGACAGGUCCAGGUCAAGAAGGAGGUAAACAAGUAUGUGUUCAAAAUCCAGUUCAACUAAGCGCUACUCACUCAUUGAAGUAAGAAUUUAUUUCUAUGGAAAGGCAGAGGUAAACUCAUGUAAGUAUGUCUGCCAGGCUAAAGCACCCAAUGCUGUCUCCACCAACGGAUGGCUUGGGAAAAGAAGUACAAGCGGCGAUGGAAGUUGAGUAACUGUCUUGGAAAUAUGUAAGUCGGGCACAUAUUCUAGUUCCGAUUCUAGGCUAUCUAUAGAAGAAUGGAGUGUUAGAAAUUCUACUAUUUAAGUUGUUGGUGCAGAGGUAAGCAAGUCAGUCUCGGGUGGGAAGUAAGCACUAUCAACUCAGGCGGGUCUUCAGUCCAAAGAAAAAGAAAGCGGUGGUAUGUACUUGAAAAUAGGACUCAACUUUUUGAUUGAAAUAGGACUGUACUAGCAUCUGCAAAAGGCAAAGCAUGACCUAUCGUGUAGUACUUCGGGUGUCGAUCCACAGGGAAAAUACCUGGGAGAACUGGUUGGUUUGCACAAGCUCAAAUAUCUUGGCCUAACCUAAUUUGUAGAAACCUGCGGCCUAAAUUAAAGACUAAUUCUAAACUAAAGAAAAUAGAAAUCGCCUAAGGCGCGUGCGGCCAAGGUCUUCCAUAGGAGCUCGAAGGAAGAGGUUCUGAAUAAGUAUACAAUUUAUAAGAUGCAGUGGAUUAGCUAAACAUUGAAAAGCUGCCAAUCUGAGGGAAUUUGUUUGCAUAAGCUACAUGUGCUAUAAAGCAAUCAUGUACUGAGUACAAAGCUAUUCCAUUAUAGUGAGCAGUAUCAAAUACGUAACAAGCAAUAGAAGCAUCCUGGCAGGUGUAUAGAACUAGCAAAGUGGUUUAGGAAAGGGCAUAUGAAUAGGCAGUUUGGCAAGUGAGUAGUUUAGGUCCUUUAGGCCAAAGAAAAGGCCGGGAGCAUUUAGGUAGGCCUAUCACUCAACCGGCGGCAGCCGAUCGACUUACACUAACCGCGUUGGCAGAGCUACUCAAUGACUCAUUAGAUCCACGAAUUUCCCCAUCUGCGCAGGGCUUCCGCAAGGUUCUCGACCCUUCUUCCGUGCAUUAACUCAAUGGCCGUCUAUGGAUUAUAUGGUUCAGGUGGACGUGGUCAAGUGUUUCGAUAGCAUAGACCAUCGGUUACUACUUGAACAUUUGUCUAAGCUCUUAGGUACAGAUAACACUCCUCUCAUUGACCUCAUCAAUUGCUUUCUCAAGACACCGAUACUUUCUAAGAAAGGGAAUGACUACUCAAACAGUGAAGUCGGCCUUCCACAAGGAUCACCGAUCUCGCCUGUUUUGAUUCAAUCAUUCCUGCAUCAACUCGACUUGCAAUUCGAUGCUAUGGCCCAAGAGGAGAAUGGGGAUUCUACCAAAUACAUCUAUUUCGCUUGCUACGCAGACGAUAUACUAUUCGGCAUUCCUAUCGUAGGUGUUGGCGUCAUGUCUAAAGUCUUCUUUCGAAGGCUGCAAGAAGUUCUUGACCGUAUGUCCAGUAAGCUAUGCUUGAAAUUAACGUCUAUUGUACUGCAACGAUGGAGGGCUCCCGCAGUCGAGGAGGGCAAAGAUAGGUUUGCAAACCAGAUUAUUGGCUGUUACAUUCAGACACAUGAAAUGCUAGAUGUUAUAUGCAGCAAGGUCAAAACUGGGCUUUUAUUUGUCCCUAUAGAAAGAUUAUUCACCAAGCGCCAGGAAAGCUUUAGCUUUGCCAUAGAGUGACAGUCGGGGGGAGCAAGAGAGAGGGAAAGAGGCAAAUGAGAAAGAAGAAGGAGCAGGGUCGAGUGAAAUAAUUGGUACAUUGGGUUCCCCCCACCGAGCGGAGCCAAAGGAAAGACAAGGGUUGAGGUAAUCGCUAUGAGUGUUCAGGCUAUUCCGCUUAUGCUCGGGAUGCGGAUAAGAAGCUAUCAAAAGGGGAUGAUAGCAGCCACCCAUAUGGGCAGCUAGAAAGAGAACGAGGAAAUGUGAAUCACGAUCCUUAUUCGAUAGAGGAGUCGGGGGACAUUGGUUCGAGUCCAAUUCGUGAAUAUCAGAAAGCAUUGUUUCUCAUUGAACUAUAUACGAUACGCGCGCACGAGGAAGGGAGAAAUUGAUUGCGUUGUAGUCAUUUUCCAUCGGAUUCUUACGGAUGUAGUGAAAAGUAAAUGUUUCAGUCAAAAGUAAGCUGCCGACUAUGAUGAAUGCCAGCCCGAUCUGUAGCUGAUCUUUGAUCCCGAGCUUGAGCUUCUCUUUGAUGUCGGGUGAAUUGAAUUUCAUAUAUGGAGAAAUGUGUCGCUAGUCCAAGUCCGCUAUAGAAUUGUUUGUCUAUCACUUCGGCAACGAAGGUCAUUUCUUUAGAAGAUCGAUACUGGUAGUUGCUUGCGGUGUCUGAACAAGUUUCGAAAAAACUAUUGUGUCUGCAUUUUCCUAAAGAUUGCUGUGAUACUGCUAGUGAUAUCUUUCCAAUAACUGACUCAGCAGGUUCAAUUGAGGUAUCAUUCGAUUGAUAUUUCGAACCGUGUAGUGGUUAGGAUCCUCUUAUUGCCGUCAAGGGCUAUUUUGGUCGAUUCCAGCCAGAGAGUUAUGAAUAGAAAUAGCAGACCUGAUUCGAGACAACACGAAGUUCCCGUUUGCAGAUCUACAUUUCUCAGGUUCAGGCUAUUCGUGGAGUCGAUCACCACCACUUGAGAUAGACGAUCAACUUCAUUAAAGAAGCAGUCAUCUCUAUACAGGAAGCAACAUGUUUUCUAUGGUCCUAUGAAAAGGUUCCAGUGGGUUUCUCUUGCUGAAUGGUGGUAAAACACCAGCUUUCAUUCCUCACUGCAAGCUACUCCUUUUGCUGCUUUU